rnacentral:rRNA from 1 species
CCACGUUUUCCGCGCCGUAGCUAACGCAUUAAGUGCCCCGCCUGGGGAGUACGGCCGCAAGGCUAAAACUCAAAGGAAUUGACGGGGGCCCGCACAAGCGGCGGAGCAUGCGGAUUAAUUCGAUGCAACGCGAAGAACCUUACCAAGGCUUGACAUGUGCCAGACCGCUCCAGAGAUGGGGUUUCCCUUCGGGGCUGGUUCACAGGUGGUGCAUGGUUGUCGUCAGCUCGUGUCGUGAGAUGUUGGGUUAAGUCCCGCAACGAGCGCAACCCUCGUUCCAUGUUGCCAGCACGUAGUGGUGGGGACUCAUGGGAGACUGCCGGGGUCAACUCGGAGGAAGGUGGGGAUGACGUCAAAUCAUCAUGCCCCUUAUGUCUUGGGCUUCACGCAUGCUACAAUGGCCGGUACAAUGGGUUGCGAUACUGUGAGGUGGAGCUAAUCCCUAAAAGCCGGUCUCAGUUCGGAUUGGGGUCUGCAACUCGACCCCAUGAAGUCGGAGUCGCUAGUAAUCGCAGAUCAGCAACGCUGCGGUGAAUACGUUCCCGGGCCUUGUACACACCGCCCGUCAAGUCACGAAAGUUGGUAACACCCGAAGCCGAUGGCCUAACCACCUUGUGUG